AUCGACGGCCAUAGCCUCCUCAAAGUACCGCGUCCCGUCUGAUCCGCGAAGUCAACUAGGAGAGCGCUCGGUUAGUACCAGGGUGGGGGACCACCUGGGAAUCCCGGGUGCCGUCGUUU
rfam:Cryptococcus amylolentus CBS 6039 supercont1.9, whole genome shotgun sequence.